GGCCUCAUCUUCUUAGCUUAGUCGGCAGAGCACGAGACUCUUACUCUAGGGUCAUGGGUUCGAGUGCCACGUUGACCA